rnacentral:rRNA from 1 species
UACGGAGGGUGCGAGCGUUGUCCGGAAUCAUUGGGCGUAAAGGGCGCGUAGGUGGCCCGGUCAGUUCGUGGUGAAAGCGCGGGGCUCAACCCUGCGUCGGCCAUGAAUACUGCCGCGGCUGGAGCACUGUAGAGGCAGGCGGAAUUCCGGGGUGUAGCGGUGGAAUGCGUAGAGAUCCGGAAGAACACCGGUGGCGAAGG